rnacentral:tRNA from 1 species
GCCGGGGUGGCCGAGCGGCCCAAGGCGGCCUGCCUCUGUGCAGGCCUGACCGGGACUUGAGACUUAGCAAGCAAUCCCGUCCCCGUCUAGGGGGCGUGGGUUCAAAUCCCACCCCCGGCGCCA